CCUACGGGUGGCAGCAGUGAGGAAUAUUGGUCAAUGGGCUUACGCCUGAACCAGCCAAGUCGCGUGAGGGAAGACUGCCCUAUGGGUUGUAAACCUCUUUUGUCAGGGAGCAACGCCGUCUACGUGUAGCCGGACUUAGAGUACCUUAAGAAAAAGCAUCGCCUAACUCCGUGCCAGCAGCCGCGGUAAUACGGAGGAUGCGAGCGUUAUCCGGAUUUAUUGGGUUUAAAGGGUGCGUAGGCGGAAUGCUAAGUCAGUGGUAAAAUCGCGGGGCUCAACCUCGAUACGGCGUUGAAACUGGCGUGCUUGGGUGGGCGAGGAGUAUGGGGAAUGCGUGGGGUAGCGGUGAAAUGCAU
rnacentral:rRNA from 1 species